UACGGAGGGAGCUAGCGUUGUUCGGAAUUACUGGGCGUAAAGGGCUCGUAGGCGGCCAACUAAGUCAGACGUGAAAUCCCUCGGCUUAACCGGGGAACUGCAUCUGAUACUGGAUGGCUUGAGAUUGGGAGAGGGAUGCGGAAUUCCAGGUGUAGCGGUGAAAUGCGUAGAUAUCUGGAGGAACACCGGUGGCGAAGGCGGCAUCCUGGACCAACACUGACGCUGAGGAGCGAAAGCCAGGGGAGCAAACGGG
rnacentral:rRNA from 1 species